UGAAAUCGAAAUCUGGGAGGAGCAAACUGGAAAAGUCGGGCAUGGAGGUCACGCCAAAGAAGUCGUAUAGCCUCCGCCGAUAUAACGGCGGAUUCUGCUCUCCAGCCAAAGCCAAAGCCGCCACCAGACCCGUCUUCUUUGGCGCGCGGGAGGUCGGACUCAUGGCCUCUGUUUUCCUCUCUGCGUCCUCGUUUUGGUCUCCUCGAGGCUCAGCUUUCUCAUGAUUCUAGAAUAAUUGGUUUUAUAGAGUUGAAUCGGUAAUUGGGUCUGGUAUUGAAGCAGAGGGUAAUAGGAUCUGGUCUGGCGGAUUGAUACAUCAAGUGAUGGAGAAGAGGUUUCAGAUCGGCCUGAGUUUCCCUUCUUUUUUUUUUUUAAUUACUAGUUUAUCGCUUUAGAGGUUGAAGCCGCUGCUCCAGAGCUCCCUCAAUUCUCCGCCGUCACCUAGAGUAAAAGCAGAGAAGCUUGAAAACCAUGGCUUACGCAGCGAUGAAACCCACCAAGCCUGGUCUCGAGGAGACACAGGAGCAGAUCCAGAAGAUCAGGAUCACUCUCUCUUCCAAGAACGUCAAGAACAUCGAGAAAGUUUGUGCUGAUUUGGUUCGCGGUGCCAAGGACAAGAGCCUGAGCAAGGGACCAGUGAGGAUGCCUACCAAGGUUCUGCACAUUACCACCAGGAAGUCACCCUGUGGAGAAGGUAUGUUUCGGUGAACAGAGCUUUAGGCUGCGUUUGGGGGGGCUUUUUCGCUCCCCUUACUAUCGAGGAGCAUUACGAGUGGCUCAAGGACUAUUCUCACUUUCGGCACCUCAUUCAAUCCCAUCUUAAUCCCAAUUCUUCUUGGUGAUAAGAUGGCUAUUAUAAUGCAGAUCUUGGAGCUGGGUUGUGGAAAUUCACAUUUGAGUGAGGAAUUAUAUGAAGACAUUAGCUAUUGAAAUAACAUGCUUUGAUCUAUCUGCUGUUGCAGUGGAGAACAUGUAGAAGAAGUUACUGUCCAAAGGUCUUAAGGGUAUGUUGAUGAUAUUCCUCUAAAGUACCACAAAAUCUGUCAAAAUUUUAGUCUUUAUAUGGUUUUAAUUGUAAAGAUGCAUGCCUUGAGCUGAGAAUUUGGUUCUGCAAAAACCCAAGUUGUAUAAUGUGACCUAUUUGUCUGGUUGUUUGCUGGGUUCUGAUGCUUUGUUUGAUUGGACAAUCCUGUUGGUUUUCAUGUGAUUAGCUAUGGUGUGAAUUUUGAUGUGCCUCUGUUUAAUCAUGUAAGGUUAAUGCCCACGAAAUUAAUUUUAGGAUUUUUCUUACCAUCGUUCUCGUAAUGGUGAUUAUAGUCCUGACAAAUUUAAAUUGUAGUUUGGUGGUUUGCUGAUUUUUGGUUAUUCAGGCUGUUUUCUUUUUUUUCCGUAAUUUAUUUGCAGAAAAGCCCAAAUUGUAAAAUGUGGCCUAUUUUGGUUGCUGUUUGCUGGCUUGUGUUGCUUUGGUUGAUUGGACAAAUCAAAUUGGUUGUAAUGUGAUUAGCUAUCCCAUCUUGCCCCGUCAUGUUUAUUGGAUUCUGUAGUUUGGUACUCAUGUUUACAUGGAUUUGUACUCUUUCUUGCUUUUUCAUUUUAGUAAGUUGAGGACCACUUGUAGUGAUGUUUAUGAUUUGUGGUCAUAAACAUGAUAGUCUUGAAUUUAAAAGAAAGAGCAUAUCUGCUGCUUUGCCUACUUGAUUUGUUUGGAACACAAUAAUAGUCGAUUAGGAUUGAAUGCAAUAAUCACUGAAAUGCAUAUAGAAAGAACAUAUCUACUGCUUUGCUUACUUGAUUUCUCAAUCAACUAACUUUUUUUUCCCUUUCUUUCUAACACGGCUCUUGCUGGAAACUAUGUCAACAUUGGGGUGUUUGAGCUAUAUGGAGAUAGAGCACUUUCUGAUGCACUUGAUAUUGCACUAAAGUUGGCAUUAUCAGUUCCUUUGGCUGAUAUAUUGGUGUGCAUGUGAUAAAUAAACUUAAGAUAUUCAUAGUGGAGUGAAGUAUUCAAUAGGAAUGUUCUGUUUUUUAGGGCCGUGAGAUUCUAAUCGUCCAUCUUGUCAUUCUAAAUAGUGUAGAAAAAACAGCAGCUUCUCUUGGUUGGAUCUUGAUGUCGGACCUUGUCAUCAGAAAUGAAGAUAUACUACCUAGCCGUCAGCUCAGAUGCCACGUAAAUCUAUUGUUUGCAGACAAAUGGAAUUUGGAAAUAGGGACAGACUGGAGGAAGCAUUUGAUUCUACCAUCAAAAGAUACAAACCGAGAGUGAUCAGAGCUCUUCAAAAUCAGGACAAUACUUUGUGUAUUAUCAAUUCAGUUGAUUGGAUUGGAUUCCUCAAUUUAAAGCCAUCAUGGUCAAAUUGAUUGAAAGAUUUUAUUGUGAUUA